UUACCUAGAGUUUGUGGGCUUUGCCCACUGUCUCUUACCCAUGUCUUUUGAGUACUUACGUUUCCUCGGUGGGCUCGCCCGCCGGUUGGACAAUUUAAACCAUUUGCAGUUGCAAUCAGCGUCUGAAAAACAUAAUAGUUACAACUUUCAACAACGGAUCUCUUGGUUCUGGCAUCGAUGAAGAACGCAGCGAAAUGCGAUAAGUAGUGUGAAUUGCAGAAUUCAGUGAAUCAUCGAAUCUUUGAACGCACAUUGCGCCCCUUGGUAUUCCAUGGGGCAUGCCAUUCGAGCGUCAUUUGUACCUUCAAGCUCUGCUUGGUGUUGGGUGUUUGUCUCGCCUUGCGCGUAGACUCGCCUUAAAACAAUUGGCAGCCGGCGUAUUGAUUUCGGAGCGCAGUACAUCUCGCGCUUUGCACUCAUAACGACGACGUCCAAAAGUACUUUUUACACUCUUGACCUCGGAUCAGGUAGGGAUACCCGCUGAACUUAAGCAUAUCAAUAAGCGGAGGACCUCCGCUUAUUGAUAUGCCUUGUUACGACUUUUACUUCCAUCCUCCGCUUAUUGAUAUGCCUUGUUACGACUUUUACUUCCAUCCUCCGCUUAUUGAUAUGCC
rnacentral:rRNA from 1 species